CUCUGUGGCGCAAUUGGCUAGCGCGUCUGACUGUUAAUCAGGAGGUUGGUGGUUCGAGCCCACCCGGAGGAG
rfam:Valsa mali var. pyri strain SXYL134 contig2724, whole genome shotgun sequence.